GCAGGCCUAACACAUGCAAGUCGAGCGGUAGCACAGAGAGCUUGCUCUCGGGUGACGAGCGGCGGACGGGUGAGUAAUGUCUGGGAAACUGCCUGAUGGAGGGGGAUAACUACUGGAAACGGUAGCUAAUACCGCAUAACGUCGCAAGACCAAAGUGGGGGACCUUCGGGCCUCAUGCCAUCAGAUGUGCCCAGAUGGGAUUAGCUAGUAGGUGGGGUAACGGCUCACCUAGGCGACGAUCCCUAGCUGGUCUGAGAGGAUGACCAGCCACACUGGAACUGAGACACGGUCCAGACUCCUACGGGAGGCAGCAGUGGGGAAUAUUGCACAAUGGGCGCAAGCCUGAUGCAGCCAUGCCGCGUGUGUGAAGAAGGCCUUCGGGUUGUAAAGCACUUUCAGCGGGGAGGAAGGCGGUGAGGUUAAUAACCUCAUCGAUUGACGUUACCCGCAGAAGAAGCACCGGCUAACUCCGUGCCAGCAGCCGCGGUAAUACGGAGGGUGCAAGCGUUAAUCGGAAUUACUGGGCGUAAAGCGCACGCAGGCGGUCUGUCAAGUCGGAUGUGAAAUCCCCGGGCUCAACCUGGGAACUGCAUUCGAAACUGGCAGGCUAGAGUCUUGUAGAGGGGGGUAGAAUUCCAGGUGUAGCGGUGAAAUGCGUAGAGAUCUGGAGGAAUACCGGUGGCGAAGGCGGCCCCCUGGACAAAGACUGACGCUCAGGUGCGAAAGCGUGGGGAGCAAACAGGAUUAGAUACCCUGGUAGUCCACGCCGUAAACGAUGUCGAUUUGGAGGUUGUGCCCUUGAGGCGUGGCUUCCGGAGCUAACGCGUUAAAUCGACCGCCUGGGGAGUACGGCCGCAAGGUUAAAACUCAAAUGAAUUGACGGGGGCCCGCACAAGCGGUGGAGCAUGUGGUUUAAUUCGAUGCAACGCGAAGAACCUUACCUGGUCUUGACAUCCACAGAACUUAGCAGAGAUGCUUUGGUGCCUUCGGGAACUGUGAGACAGGUGCUGCAUGGCUGUCGUCAGCUCGUGUUGUGAAAUGUUGGGUUAAGUCCCGCAACGAGCGCAACCCUUAUCCUUUGUUGCCAGCGGUUAGGCCGGGAACUCAAAGGAGACUGCCAGUGAUAAACUGGAGGAAGGUGGGGAUGACGUCAAGUCAUCAUGGCCCUUACGACCAGGGCUACACACGUGCUACAAUGGCAUAUACAAAGAGAAGCGACCUCGCGAGAGCAAGCGGACCUCAUAAAGUAUGUCGUAGUCCGGAUUGGAGUCUGCAACUCGACUCCAUGAAGUCGGAAUCGCUAGUAAUCGUAGAUCAGAAUGCUACGGUGAAUACGUUCCCGGGCCUUGUACAC
rnacentral:rRNA from 1 species